rnacentral:rRNA from 1 species
GAUGAACGCUGGCGGCGUGCCUAAUACAUGCAAGUCGAGCGAACAGAUGAGGAGCUUGCUCCUCUGACGUUAGCGGCGGACGGGUGAGUAAAACGUGGAGAACCUACCUAUAAGACUGGGAUAACUUCGGGAAACCGGAGCUAAUACCGGAUAAUAUAUUUAACCGCAUGGUUCAAUAGUGAAAGACGGUUUUGCUGUCACUUAUAGAUGGAUCAGCGCCUCAUUAGCUAGUUGGUAAGGUAACGGCUUACCAAGGCAACGAUGCGUAGCCGACCUGAGAGGCUGAUCGGCCACACUGGAACUGAGACACGGUCCAGACUCCUACGGGAGGCAGCUGUAGGGAAUCUUCCGCAAUGGGCGAAGGCUUGUCGGAGCAACGCCGCGUUAGUGAUGAAGGUCUUCGGUUCGUAAAACUCUGUUAUUAGGGAAGAACAAAUGUGUAAGUAACUAUGCACGUCUUGACGGUACCUAAUCAGAAAGCCACGGCUAACUACGUG